rnacentral:tRNA from 1 species
ACCUGGCUAGCUCAAUUGGUCAGAGCGUCCGACUUUUAGUAAUCUAAGAGUCAUCGGAAGGUUGGGAGUUCGAGCCUCCCGUCGGGUG